rnacentral:rRNA from 1 species
AGGACGAACGCUGGCGGCGUGCUUAACACAUGCAAGUCGAGCGGAAAGGCCCUUCGGGGUACUCGAGCGGCGAACGGGUGAGUAACACGUGAGCAAUCUGCCCUUAGCUUCGGGAUAGCUCCGGGAAAACCGGAAUUAAUACCGAAUACGACUACGGCCGACAUCGGCUGUGGUGGAAAGUUUUCGGCUAGGGAUGAGCUCGCGGCCUAUCAGCUUGUUGGUGAGGUAACGGCUCACCAAGGCGACGACGGGUA